CGACCGGCGCACGGGUGAGUAACGCGUAUCCAACCUUCCCAUUACUGUGGGAUAACCUGCCGAAAGGCAGACUAAUACCGCAUAGUCUUCGAUGACGGCAUCAGAUUUGAAGUAAAGAUUUAUCGGUAAUGGAUGGGGAUGCGUCUGAUUAGCUUGUUGGCGGGGUAACGGCCCACCAAGGCGACGAUCAGUAGGGGUUCUGAGAGGAAGGUCCCCCACAUUGGAACUGAGACACGGUCCAAACUCCUACGGGAGGCAGCAGGC
rnacentral:rRNA from 1 species